GACGAACGCUGGCGGCAGGCCUAACACAUGCAAGUCGAACGAGUGGCGGACGGGUGAGUAAUGUCUGGGAAACUGCCUGAUGGAGGGGGAUAACUACUGGAAACGGUAGCUAAUACCGCAUACCAUCGGAUGUGCCCAGAUGGGAUUAGCUAGUAGGUGGGGUAAAGGCUCACCUAGGCGACGAUCCCUAGCUGGUCUGAGAGGAUGACCGGCCACACUGGAACUGAGACACGGUCCAGACUCCUACGGGAGGCAGCAGUGGGGAAUAUUGGACAAUGGGCGCAAGCCUGAUGCAGCAAGGCCGCGUGUGUGAAGAAGGCCUUCGGGUUGUAAAGUACUGUCAGCGGAGAGGCGUUACCCGAAGAAGAAGCACCGGCUAACUCCGUGCCAGCAGCCGCGGUAAUUC
rnacentral:rRNA from 1 species